UGAGAGUGACAGGCUGGCGAAAGUUGGUUUCUUUCGGGACACUCUUCAAGGUGCUGCAUGGUUGUCGUCAGCUCGGUGCCGUGAGGUGUCGGGUUAAGUCCCAUAACGAGCGCAACCCUUACUGUUAGUUGCCAGCGGGUAAUGCCGGGAACUCUAGCGGGACUGCCACCGUAAGGUGAGAGGAAGGUGGGGAUGACGUCAAAUCAGCACGGCCCUUAUGUCCAGGGCUACACACGUGUUACAAUGGCCGGUACAAAGGGCAGCUACACCGCGAGGUGAUGCUAAUCUCGAAAGCCGGUCUCAGUUCGGAUCGAAGUCUGCAACCCGACCUCGUGAAGUUGGAUUCGCUAGUAAUCGCGCAUCAGCCAUGGCGCGGUGAAUACGUUCCCGGGCCUU
rnacentral:rRNA from 1 species